UAGUGGCGAACGGGUGAGUAACACGUGGGCAAUCUGCCCUGCACUCUGGGACAAGCCCUGGAAACGGGGUCUAAUACCGGAUACUGACCAUCACGGGCAUCUGUGGUGGUCGAAAGCUCCGGCGGUGCAGGAUGAGCCCGCGGCCUAUCAGCUUGUUGGUGAGGUAAUGGCUCACCAAGGCGACGACGGGUAGCCGGCCUGAGAGGGCGACCGGCCACACUGGGACUGAGACACGGCCCAGACUCCUACGGGAGGCAGCAGUGGGGAAUAUUGCACAAUGGGCGAAAGCCUGAUGCAGCGACGCCGCGUGAGGGAUGACGGCCUUCGGGUUGUAAACCUCUUUCAGCAGGGAAGAAGCGAAAGUGACGGUACCUGCAGAAGAAGCGCCGGCUAACUACGUGCCAGCAGCCGCGGUAAUACGUAGGGCGCAAGCGUUGUCCGGAAUUAUUGGGCGUAAAGAGCUCGUAGGCGGCUUGUCACGUCGGUUGUGAAAGCCCGGGGCUUAACCCCGGGUCUGCAGUCGAUACGGGCAGGCUAGAGUUCGGUAGGGGAGAUCGGAAUUCCUGGUGUAGCGGUGAAAUGCGCAGAUAUCAGGAGGAACACCGGUGGCGAAGGCGGAUCUCUGGGCCCGAUACUGACGCUGAGGAGCGAAAGCG
rnacentral:rRNA from 1 species